GCUCGGCUGGCUCAAUGGUAGAGCAUCAGACUUCUAAUCUGAAGGUUGCGGGUUCGAGUCCCGCGUUGAGUG